GACGAACGCUGGCGGCGUGCCUAAUACAUGCAAGUUGAGCGCUGAAGGUUGGUACUUGUACCAACUGGAUGAGCAGCGAACGGGUGAGUAACGCGUGGGGAAUCUGCCUUUGAGCGGGGGACAACAUUUGGAAACGAAUGCUAAUACCGCAUAAAAACUUUAAACACAAGUUUUAAGUUUGAAAGAUGCAAUUGCAUCACUCAAAGAUGAUCCCGCGUUGUAUUAGCUAGUUGGUGAGGUAAAGGCUCACCAAGGCGAUGAUACAUAGCCGACCUGAGAGGGUGAUCGGCCACAUUGGGACUGAGACACGGCCCAAACUCCUACGGGAGGCAGCAGUAGGGAAUCUUCGGCAAUGGACGAAAGUCUGACCGAGCAACGCCGCGUGAGUGAAGAAGGUUUUCGGAUCGAAAAACUCUGUUGGUAGAGAAGAACGUUGGUGAGAGUGGAAAGCUCAUCAAGUGACGGUAACUACCCAGAAGAGAACGGCUAACUACGUG
rnacentral:rRNA from 1 species